GUGGAGCUCAACCCACAAACACUUGGGAGGAGAUGAAGAUGAUCAUGAGAAGGAGGUUUGUGCCAAGCUCCUAUCAAAGGGACCUUCACAACAAACUUCAACGACUCACCCAAGGUGCUAUGAGUGUGGAUGAGUAUUACAAGGAGAUGGAGUUGGCCUUGCUAAGGUCAAACCUCCAUGAGGACCGUGAAUCCACUAUGGCACGGUUCCUUCAUGGGCUUAAUCAGGACAUCUAGGAUGUGGUGGAGUUGCAGCCUUAUGUCGAGCUUGAUGACUUAGUGCAAAAAGCUCUAAAAGUGGAACAACAACUUAAGAGGAAGAAGUCUAAGCACUCCUCUAACAAGUUUCAAUCUUGGAGGGACGAACCAAAGAAGGAGGAUGGUCCAACAAAGGAGACUAUGGGUGCAUCUAGCACUAAGGAGGUUGUGGGUCCUUCAAGGGAUCAAGGCAAACAUCACGUGGAAACAACCACAAAAAGUCGUGAUGUGAAGUGUUUCAAAUGCCUAGGCAGAGGAUACAUUGCCUCACAAUGUCCUACUAAGAGGACCAUGGUGGUGAUGAAUGGGGUAGUGGAGUCUCAAUCUGAGGCUUCAAGUGAGGAGGACAUUGGAGAAGAAGUGUUCAUGCCAGAGGGUGGCCUAUUCAUGGUGAGGAAACUCUUAGGGAGCCAAGUUAAUGUAAACUCAAUAGGGUCACUCACUAAUUAAUCAUCAUCCACUAUUUG
rnacentral:lncRNA from 1 species